ACUUUACUAGUUGAACCUAUAAAACACAAAAUGAGUGAAACGAGGCUGCCCUUUCUUCUUUUGGGCUGUGGAUAAUUUGAACCAAUAGUGUAUGGUCAAUUACAGCGAAUAGAUAGCGUGAUCAAGAGUUAAGCGAAUGGAAGUCACAACAGUAAGGAGCUUCGGUUUCAGUAUCACUCAUUCUUUUCCACCGAGAAGGAAGUUUCAUCCAACAUUGGCUAAAAAGAAAGAUAACGAGUCUCAACAACAACAACCACCUUUUUCAUCAUUGAGGAUUUCGAACUCCAAUCUUGCUCGCGCUGCCAUUGGAGUGUUUGGAUUAGGGUUCAUUGAUGCAGGGUAUAGUGGAGACUGGUCAAGGAUUGGAGUAAUUACACCGCAGAAUGAGGAAUUUCUAAGGCUUGCAGCUUUUCUAGUGGUUCCCAUUUGUGUUCUUUUUGUUUUUAGGGUUGCCAAAGAACCUGAUUAUUGAGCUUUUCAAAUGCUAUAUGUAAAUCUCAAGAUGAUAUGGGAUAGGUUAUGCUCAGAAGAGAAUUACUUUUGAGAAAAAUAGUUACCUGCUACAUUAAUGAUAUCACAUUAUUCAACAAUGUGAUAGUUCUUGCAUGAGAUUCGACUUCCAAUAAUGUACUGUAGGAGUUGUGCUGGUGAUACAUUUGGAUAAAGGUGUGGUUGGAAGUGAAGAGAUACUCGGUUAAUCUAUCCCGUGUCUCCGAAUUCUCUCCGAAAAUUUAAGACGAUUCUGGUUUACAAUAAUUAUUUUAAUUGUAAUAAAGAUGAGAACAUUGUCAUAACUGAUUAGUUCAGCAGUAAAAGGUUUAAGAAUCUGUACUAA